rnacentral:rRNA from 1 species
UACGAAGGGGCUAGCGUUGUUCGGAAUCACUGGGCGUAAAGCGCACGUAGGCGGAUCUUUAAGUCAGGGGUGAAAUCCUGGAGCUCAACUCCAGAACUGCCUUUGAUACUGGGGAUCUCGAGUCCGGAAGAGGUGAGUGGAACUCCGAGUGUAGAGGUGAAAUUCGUAGAUAUUCGGAAGAACACCAGUGGCGAAGGCGGCUCACUGGUCCGGUACUGACGCUGAGGUGCGAAAGCGUGGGGAGCA